CAUUCUUGUCAGAUGCUAGCUUAUGCAGAUCAAGGAGUGACUGGUUUACAUUCUUUUCCAGGUGCAAGGCACACUCCAUUGCUGUCAACCCAUUCUCCCAAUCAUCACGAUCUGGUUUCUUGAUGUCCUGCAAAAAGAUGCGACCGCCCCUCUGGUUCUGCAGCUUCAUGAAUUUUGUAGCAUGCUCAUAAUCCUUGUGAGAUCAGAA